UAUAUAUGUUUAUUACCGCUUGGAUGUUAUUACCACGACCUAUGGUCUUUGUAGAGCAUAAAAAAGAACACAUUUCAGGGUGAUUUCAUGAACAUAUAACUCAGAAAUGAAACUUGGUAUAUAUCAAAACACUUAUCGACUUGAGCCUCUGGAAAUCAUUCGCUCUGUGCCAGACAUCUUGUUAACAAGGCUUGACAGAGGUGGUUGCAUUUUAACAGUCAUUGUACUGAUGCUAGUCAGUCCAAGAAUAGUUGCCUACAAGAAAGAAGGAAAUUAGAUUUCCAAUUAUAAUGGAAAUUUCAGUUGCCGGGUUACCGUAUUCUCAAAUAUUUACAUAAUCAAUUACGGUCAUAAAUGUCAAUACGGC